rnacentral:rRNA from 1 species
GAUGAACGCUGACGGCGUGCCUAAUACAUGCAAGUCGAGCGAACGGACGAGAAGCUUGCUUCUCUGAUGUUAGCGGCGGACGGGUGAGUAACACGUGGAUAACCUACCUAUAAGACUGGGAUAACUUCGGGAAACCGGAGCUAAUACCGGAUAAUAUUUUGAACCGCAUGGUUCAAAAGUGAAAGACGGUCUUGCUGUCACUUAUAGAUGGAUCCGCGCUGCAUUAGCUAGUUGGUAAGGUAACGGCUUACCAAGGCAACGAUGCAUAGCCGACCUGAGAGGGUGAUCGGCCACACUGGAACUGAGACACGGUUCAGACUCCUACGGGAGGCAGCAGUAGGGAAUCUUCCGCAAUGGGCGAAAGCCUGACGGAGCAACGCCGCGUGAGUGAUGAAGGUCUUCGGAUCGUAAAACUCUGUUAUUAGGGAAGAACAUAUGUGUAAGUAACUGUGCACAUCUUGACGGUACCUAAUCAGAAAGCCACGGCUAACUACGUG